rnacentral:sRNA from 1 species
CAAUGCUCACCGCUGAAUCCCAUUCAUGGGAACGGGGGAACCAACGUUAGUGCGCCAGCUGUACAUCUGCAGUUUGCGCAAGGGGUGAAUCCGGCACAGGAAUCCGUUCCUGGCUGGUAGGGCGACUCUUCGCGCCCGAAUCCGUCAGCUAACCUCGUAAGCGUCCAAGGAGGCAGCC